GGGCAGCACUGAACUAUAGGCAUGCAUUAAAGCCAUGCUCCACUACCUGAAUAACACUACUAGAGACAGAGAGAGUUGGACGCAGCAACUCUGUGGAAGAUCCUAGAGACAGAGAGGGAUUGAGUCGCCAUGAGCUGCUACCUGUCACAAGAGGAAAAGAGAAACAGAUGUUUAGGAUGGAACAAACCUAGACGCUUCCCAUAGUUCACAGUGCAACCUGUGAACUGUAGCAGUUCACACCCACAAAUAUUCUAAUGCUUGCUGUCUUUCAUCAAUGAAUCAUCUACAUAGAGAAAUGGUUCAGGCAUUGCACUAUGGCAGAUGUGUGUUUACGGAAGACAAACAGCCUUGAUGCCUUG